GGGGCUGCGGCGGCGCUGCGGGCGGGCGCGGACCUUGCCCAGCGCCCGCUGAUCGGCGGGCGGGCGGGCGAUCGCACGGGCGCGGCACCUGCGGGCAGGAGCGUCUGGCUGCCGCAGCGCCGGAUAGCCCGUCCCCCAGCUGCUGCUGAGAUGAGUGCAGUGUCGGAGCCCCAGGCCGCCCACAGCCCCCUGGAGAAGCCGCCCAGCACCGCGAUCCUGUGUAACACCUGCGGGAAUGUGUGCAAGGGGGAGGUGCUAAGGGUCCAGAACAAGUACUUCCACAUCAAGUGCUUCGUCUGCAAAGCAUGCGGCUGUGACCUGGCCGAGGGCGGCUUCUUCGUGCGGCAGGGCGAGUACAUCUGCACGCGGGACUACCAGCGGCUGUACGGGACCCGCUGCUUCAGCUGCGACCAGUUCAUCGAGGGCGAGGUGGUGUCGGCGCUGGGCAAGACCUACCACCCCGACUGCUUCGUGUGCGCCGCGUGCCGGCUGCCCUUCCCGCCGGGGGACCGAGUGACCUUCAACGGGAAGGAAUGCAUGUGUCAGAAGUGCUCCCUGCCCAAGACAGCAGGCAGCAGCGUGCACCUGUCCCAGGGCCUCUGGAGUUGUGGGGGCUGUGGCACAGAAAUAAAAAAUGGCCAGUCCCUGGUGGCUCUGGACAAACACUGGCAUCUGGGCUGUUUCAAGUGUGAGACGUGUGGGAAGCAACUGGAUGCGGAGUACAUCAGCAAGGACGGGCUGCCCUACUGCGAGGCCGACUACCACACCAAGUUCGGCAUCCGCUGUGACGGCUGUGAGAAGUACAUCACGGGGCACGUGCUGGAGGCAGGAGAAAAACACUACCACCCACUGUGUGCGCUAUGCGUCCGGUGCGGCCGGAUGUUUGCGGAAGGCGAGGAGAUGUAUCUUCAAGGUUCCUCCAUCUGGCACCCGGCGUGCCGACAAGCAGCCAGAACUGAAGACAAAAACAAGGAAACCAGAAGCUCUUCCGAGAGCAUCAUUUCUGUACCUGCUUCCAGCACCUCGGGGUCUCCAAGCCGCGUGAUCUAUGCGAAGCUGGGCGAUGAGAUUCUCGACUACAGGGAUUUGGCUGCUCUUCCUAAAAGCAAGGCCAUCUACAACAUCGACCGCCCCGACAUGAUCUCCUACUCGCCGUACAUCAGCCACUCCGCGGCGGGCAGGCAGAGCAGCCAUGAGUCACCGCAGGUACUCUCACCAACGCCGACGGAGGGGGAUCAGGAUGACCGCUCGUACAAGCAGUGCCGGACCUCCAGCCCGAGCUCCACUGGGUCAGUCAGCCUCGGGCGCUACACGCCGACCUCACGGUCGCCCCAACACUACAGCCGUCCAGCUGGUACUGUGAGUGUUGGUACCAGUAGCUGCCUGUCCCUGUCCCAACACCCAAGCCCUACAUCCGUGUUCAGACAUCAUUACGUCCCCUACUUCCGAGGCAGUGAAAGUGGCCGGAGCACCCCCAGCCUCUCGGUGCUCUCAGACAGCAAGCCUCCCCCCUGCACCUACCAGCAGGCGCCUCGCCACUUCCACAUCCCAGACACUGGCGUAAAAGAUAACAUCUAUAGGAAACCCCCUAUCUACAAACAGCAUGGUCCUGUAGCCCAAUCCCCAAUUUCCAAGCUCUCGGGCCUGAUGUCAGUCUUGUCCUUGGUGGUGCACAAGGCAGGGUGCUCCAAAAGGCUCGAAGGUCCAAGCCCUCCGCAGGUUGCAGCCGUCAGGCGACCCGAUGGACAGGAUGGAGCGUUGGAGCAGGAUAACAGGAAGCAGAAGACCAGCUGGCUGCUUCUCCAGGGGGAUACAGACACUAGGACUAACUCUCCAGACCUAGACAGCCAGUCUUUGUCCCACAGUAGCGGGACCGAUAGAGACCCUCUCCAAACAAUGCAAGGGGACAACUUUUACUCACGAUUCCCCUAUUCCAAAUCUGACCCUCUCCCAGGACACGGAAAGAAUGGCUUGGACCACCGGAAUGCCAAUCUGGCCCCUUGUGGAGCAGACCCGGAUGCCAGCUGGGGCACGCGAGAAUACAAGGUAAGAGGGGCUGCCCGCUGCCACGCCGACCUCUGCCCGCCGCCAUGCACCUGCCCAGAUCUAUCCUUAUGACGCCCUCAUUGUCACCAACCGAAUUCGCGUCAAACUGCCCAAGGAUGUGGACCGGACGCGGCUGGAGAGGCACCUGUCGCCCGAGGAUUUCCAGGAAGUAUUUGGGAUGAGCGUGGAAGAGUUUGACCGCCUGGCCCUCUGGAAAAGGAAUGACCUCAAGAAGAAAGCCCUAUUGUUUUGACGGCUGCUGGUGUUCGUGACCGUGCGCAGCAGCAGCAGAGCCCGGGACACCUGGCGAGAACCACGAAAACCCCUCCUAUUGCACCUGGCUCUGGCUUCCCUGUGUCUGUGGGGGGCUGGCGGUGGGCCCCUGGAGAGGGCUGGGCUGGAGGCGGGGGCAGGAGGAGGUCCCAGAGCAGGUGCGACCUCUGUUUCUGCCAGCAAUGCUCCCGCCCCUGGUUCAGAGCCCAGACGCCUUGCUUUGUGCUGUUCCUUCCCCGCUGUUGCUUGGCAUCAGGGAGAUGCUGCAAAAUAGCUGUCCCAGGAGAUCAAGGAACACUUACGCGACGUGCAGCCCACCUUCCUGACCCCUGUGCAGUGCCCCGAACCCCCGCCCCCUGCACUAGGCCCUGGGGGCACAGAGGUGCCUGGGACUCGGGAUUGGAGGAGGUUUGUCAAUGACAGACGCUGACACAAUCAUGGGUGGGUGGGCAUCUGGCUCCCAGUGUCUGCUCACCUCCCCCCCACUUGCUCAGCCCUGGGGAGGCAAAGCCUUGCACCCAGACAGGCCAGGCCAGGGAGAGUGCCGCAGAGCACCCGGACUGCACGAAGUCAAGCGCAGGGUGCAUGAUUUUUGCAUCUGCUUGUGACGAAGUCUGUUUUUAGGGAUAAACGUCAGCCUGACAGGGUACCUUCGGCCAGGGCCCUCCAUGCACUGCAUUUUUCUUCCAAAUCAUCCCCUAGAUGCCUAAAUGAUAUCUUUAAAGUAACACAGAAGUUUUUAUUUUAUUAAGGAGCAUAGCCUACUUAAACAUAAGACGACAUAUAUAGAGUUCCAUUUUAUGGUCCCGCGGAAGGGAGCGCCUCCAGCCUUAUUCUCCACUGCUCAGAUCUGUGUGUUUUUGCUUCUUGGUGUGUUCCUAACACCUAGGGCUCCUUGUCGGGUUUCUUUCCAUUGUUUUUUUUUUUUUUUCUUUUUCACCUGUCACACAGGUGCCCUUAAGGGCAGCCCUUGCCCACAUAAUGCCCACGUAAUGCCCACGUAAUGCUCUUUGUAAGUAUGUGUGAAGUGUAGCCACCACAGUCUGCCUCGCUGUUAUUCUCCACGUCUUGGAGAGAGAACAUCCUCUUCUGAUGGCCAAAGCCCUGGAAUGAUGGAUUUCCAUGCGUCCAGCCUAAUACCCAACGUAGCCCUUGGUGUGCCUGUCUUUCCCGCAGUGGAACGUAGCCCCCUGGGCUGAAGCCUUCUGCAUGAGUGUGUGGUCCUGAGACAGGCACCUGGCCGCUGGGGAAGGAGGCGGGAGACGCCACCCUCUUCUGGCCUGCAAGGUCAGCACAGGGUCCUGCAGCAGAAGGCUGGCCAGGCCCCCUGCUGAAAGGCGUCCGUGUCUGUAAUUAGGUGCGGUAGGGCUGGUGCCUGUCCCAGGAAACUUGUAAUGUGGGUUGAGAGGUUUAUGAAUCACUGGGAAGGUGUCACCAAAGUCUGUUCCCCUGUGUUCUGUGGAGCUGUGUCUGUGUUCCUGGCCGUCCCGUCUGUGAGUCAGCAUGACUCAGAUCCUUCCAGCCCUACCACGCACCCCAUUGCGCACCAGCUUCCCACCAGCCCGGCUCGGCCAGGGAGGCGUGUUUCUAGCACCUAAUGCACUUCCUUCCCUUUAGCAAUCUGCGCCCCGAGCAACUGGAAACCCCCGGGUUUUUCAUUAGUGCAAUGUCCUGUCAGCUCCCAGGGGAGCCUGGAAAAAUAAAGGACGGUGUACCCUAACUUGUGAAGGUGAAA